AACGUACUCAUUAAUCAAGAACGAAAGUUAGAGGUUCGAAGGCGAUCAGAUACCGCCCUAGUUCUAACCAUAAACUAUGCUGACCAGCGAUCCGUCUAUGUCAAUCUCAUGACUAGACGGGAAGCUUCCGGGAAACCAAAGUCUUUGAGUUCCAGGGGAAGUAUGGUUGCAAAGCUGAAACUUAAAGGAAUUGACGGAAGGGCACCACCAGGAGUGGAGCCUGCGGCUUAAUUUGACUCAACACGGGGAACCUUACUAGGCCCAGACACUGGAAGGAUUGACAGAUUAAGAGCUCUUUCUUAAUUCGGUGGGUGGUGGUGCAUGGCCGUUGUUAGUUGGUGGAGAGAUUUGUCUGGUUAAUUCCGAUAACGAACGAGACUCUUGCCUAUUAAAUAGUUGGUGGAUUAAAAUUUCAUGUCCUCAUUAGCUUCUUAGAGGUACAAGCGGUAUAUAGCCGCACGAGAAAGAGCAAUAACAGGUCUGUGAUGCCCUCAGAUGUUCUGGGCCGCACGCGCGCUACACUGAAGGGUUCAGCGUGUUUUCCUUCUCCGAGAGGAGAGGGUAACCAGUUGAAACCCCUUCGUGGUUUGGGAUAGGGGAAUCUCAUCCCCUUAAACGAGGAAUUCCUAGUAAGCGCAAGUCAUCAGCUUGCGUUGAUUAAGUCCCUGCCCUUUGUACACACCGCCCGUCGCUACUACUGAUUGAAUGACUUAGUGAGGCCUUCGGACUGUCGCUCUUGCGGUCUUAGGACUGCAUUGGGCCUGACGGAAAGAUGUCCAAACUUGAUCAUUUAGAGGAAGUAAAAGUCGUAACAAGGUUUCCGUAGGUGAACUGG
rnacentral:rRNA from 1 species